CGUCUACGGGGAGGCUGUUGCAGCGUGCGCCGGAGAAUGAGACACGAGGUGAGCUGGCUGCUGCUUUGAAAAAGAAGCACGUGGCCAUCCCUAUGAUAUUGGACUCAAGGUUCGAGAUUGAGAUGUCGCCAUCCCCUGCAGUGGGUGGCAAGUACAAGAAAAAAAGAAGACGGAGGACAAGACGUCCACUGUGUCGCUUGUGGAGCAUGCCUGACUGGUUGAAAAGCUGCGGUCGGCAAAGCAGAGGGUGGUGAACCUGGAGCAGGAGCUCCAGAUAGAGAGGACGCUACCAGGAAGCAGCUGCUGGCAC